UCCUCUAUAGCUCAAUGGUAGAGCACAUGACUGUUAAUCAUGGGGUUGUAGGUUCGAAUCCUACUGGAGGAGCCA
rnacentral:tRNA from 7 species